rnacentral:rRNA from 1 species
UACGGGGGGUGCUAACGUUGUCCGGAAUCACUGGGCGUAAAGGGCGCGUAGGCGGCUCAUGAAGGCUGUGGUGAAAGUCCGGGGCUCAACCUCGGAUCGGCCGUGGCGACUCGUGGGCUGGAGCACUGUAGAGGCGGGUGGAAUUCCGGGUGUAGCGGUGGAAUGCGUAGAGAUCCGGAAGAACACCAGUGGCGAAGGCGGUUCUCUGGGCAUUACCUGACGCUGAGGAGCGAAAGUGUGGGGAGCGAACAGG